GGCUACUACAUCCAAGGAAGGCAGCAGGCGCGCAAAUUACCCAAUCCCGACGCGGGGAGGUAGUGACAAUAAAUACUGAUACAGGGCUCUUUUGGGUCUUGUAAUUGGAAUGAGUACAAUUUAAUUCCCUUAACGAGGAACAAUUGGAGGGCAAGUCUGGUGCCAGCAGCCGCGGUAAUUCCAGCUCCAAUAGCGUAUAUUAAAGUUGUUGCAGUUAAAAAGCUCGUAGUUGAACCUUGGGCCUGGCUGGCCGGUCCGCCUCACCGCGUGCACUGGUCCGGCCGGGUCUUUCCCUCUGGGGAGCCGCAUGCCCUUCACUGGGCGUGUCGGGGAACCAGGACAUUUACUUUGAAAAAAUUAGAGUGUUCAAAGCAGGCUUAUGCUCGAAUACAUUAGCAUGGAAUAAUAGAAUAGGACGCGCGGUUCUAUUUUGUUGGUUUCUAGGACCGCCGUAAUGAUUAAUAGGGACAGUCGGGGGCAUCAGU
rnacentral:rRNA from 1 species